rnacentral:lncRNA from 1 species
CGAUAAAGCUGUCGGUACGCCGACAACUAUCGGACCCUAUAAUAGAAAGAAAAGACUUCUGUAAGAGCAUGGAUGAGAUAUUUGAAAAAUAUAUAAAAAGUAUUGAAUAGAAAGUAUGAUCACUGCAAUUAUGUGAUGACGUGAUUAGACUAUGUGCUGACCGUAACUGACAGUACUAUGUGUUAUGAUAUAUUGUUCUAAUCGGACGAAUGACCUGUUUAUUGAUAGGUUGUGAUAAAGAGAUAAGACCUAAGUUGAGAUUUGUAAUCAGCAAAUCAGGCAAGUAUCUUACCUUUGCAUUUCCUUUAUGCAAUGGACAUGAGUAAGAAGUUUCAGAAUUAUUCUAUUCCUGUACAGAUUAUGUACGCUUUGAUUAUCAACAUGUUAGCUCAGAUAUAUAUUCUGUUAAGUUGAUUUCUAAAUGGUUAUACAAGUGUCCCCACUUGGAUAAUCAUGGCAUUUAUUCACAUGUUGAUAUACCUUUGUCAAUUACCC